ensembl:lncRNA
UGAGUGUGCAGGGAAGAUCACAGGGAAGGGUAAGCACCCUAUCUUCUGACACCACCACCAGUGCUUGAGUGUCAUGCUGAAGCAAGACACUUCUUGACUGUUAAUUCUCCAUCCAAGCCCUUCUUGAGUCCAGUUUUCCAAAAGCAAAGUUUAACAAGAGCAUCAGUGAUCUUUGUGUCUUCCUUUUUAUUCCUCUGAGUGGACAAGUCUGCUUCUAACUUUUCAGAGAUCCAAGAUAUUCUUACCUGAGCCUGCAAAACUUUCAUCUGAGGAUCAAAAACAACCAGGUGCAUGCUGUUGCUGCAACCAGACCAGAUUACCUGCUUAACGAAAUUCUCCUGUGACUUCUCGAAUAUAUAUGAACUAAACACUGCUGACUGUCAAUAUACACCUUUGAAGGACGGGAGGGAGAAGAGUCAACAUGUUGCAGGUUUUUCCUUUUUUAGGAAAAUCAUAUGCUUACAACAAACUAGCAUCAGUUGCAAUUGGAAUAAAAAUAGGAGUCAGUUCAUGGCAAGAGACAG